AGUUUAUGCGACUUCGUUGAGUGGGUUGAUACGAUGAAUCCACAACGUGACAGGGCACGCCCAUAUCCAUGCAGCGAACCAUUAUCGGACUACCUAAGGAGGAAGGAUGAGUACGAACGAUGAAAAACUGCCAAAUCCUUACAAUGGCAAGUAAAUCCACUGGGACUCCCCACUUGACGGGAGCGUCCAGAGUGUAGGUGUGGAGACCGUUGCCAGGUGAUAAGGUCCGUUCGACAACGAACUCUAGGACAGAGAUGCUUCGUGUGUCCUAACAUUGUCGACGAUGAUUUUGUUGAAGAAGACCGCAAAUGUAGCUAUGUAAAGUGGAUUGAUACGACGAUAACUCAACCUAAGACAACCACACAAUUCAUUCAAGCGUGGAUGGAGUACGAGCGCCAGGUUUAGUCCGCUAGCUUACACUGGAGAUCAAAUCCAUUAGGUAUACCUGAAUGGUCUGAUCAUCCCAAAUGCAGUUGUAGAGAUCGCUGCCAGGUUGCAACGUCCUUCUCACAAGAUACAUAUGGCAGGCGGUACUUCGUCUGUCCCAACAUAGACGACAACUUCGUUGGGAAUCCAAGGAUGUGUGCUUUUACUUCAUGGAUCGACAUGGUCAGCCCGACGUAUGAAGGCGGAAGAGUAACUAAAGCUGAAACGCAAACAUAAUAUAAGAGAUUGAAGGAUCACGAAGUUGCAUUACACACACAACGACGUAGAAGGGGUCAAUAGAGAAGCUUAACCCCUAAUCGCUCUAGUUCGGCCUUUUGUUAUGUUAUGUUUGUAACAUACCCAAGCCUGUAAACCUGAGAACUAAAUUUAAUUUAAAUGCAUCAUGUGGUUGUGGAGUGGUUUUAA